AUGCCGCGUGCGUGAUGAAGGCCUUAGGGUUGUAAAGCGCUUUCGGCGGGGAAGAUGAUGACGGUACCCGCAGAAGAAGCCCCGGCUAACUCCGUGCCAGCAGCCGCGGUAAUACGGAGGGGGCUAGCGUUGUUCGGAAUUACUGGGCGUAAAGGGCGCGUAGGCGGCGAUUUAAGUUAGGCGUGAAAGCCCCGGGCUUAACCUGGGAACUGCGCUUGAUACUGGAUUGCUUGAGGACGGGAGAGGGUAGUGGAAUUCCCAGUGUAGAGGUGAAAUUCGUAGAUAUUGGGAAGAACACCAGUGGCGAAGGCGACUGCCUGGCCCGUUACUGACGCUGAGGCGCGAAAGCGUGGGGAGCAAACAGGAUUAGAUACCCUGGUAGUCCACGCCGUAAACGAUGAGUGCUAGACGUUGGGGAACAUGGUUUCUCGGUGUCGCAGCUAACGCAUUAAGCACUCCGCCUGG
rnacentral:rRNA from 2 species